rnacentral:rRNA from 1 species
UACAGAGGUCUCAAGCGUUGUUCGGAUUCAUUGGGCGUAAAGGGUGCGUAGGUGGCGCCGUAAGUCAGGUGUGAAAUUCGGAGCUUAACUCCGAAACUGCAUUUGAUACUGCGGUGCUUGAGGACUGGAGAGGAGACUGGAAUUCACGGUGUAGCAGUGAAAUGCGUAGAUAUCGUGAGGAAGACCAGUGGCGAAGGCGGGUCUCUGGACAGUUCCUGACACUGAGGCAAGCGAAGGCUAGGGGAGCAAACGGG